AGCCGCAGCCAGAUCUUCUGCCGCCCUGCUAAAGGAGGCCCUGACAUUCGCUGGAGACAGCCCAUCAAACAGCCUGUUGCUAAUUGUCCGCGAAGACCCAGAUCACCCGUGUCACGCUCAUGCGGAGUUGCUCGCGGACAGGCCUGUAACCCUGAGUGAUAUAGAGCCGGUCAUCUUCUUCAACAAACUCUGAUGGGAGAGAGAUGGCAAUGAAGACACGACGUAAUGGCGCAAAGACGAAUGGCGGCAAACUCGGAAACCGACCCGAACUACUCAAUUCAGACAACAUUAUUACAAGCUUACAGUUGGGAAUCAGGCUAAGAUUGAAGUACAUUGAAGCUGCAUGUUCUGGGUGGAUUCCAGGAGGAUGAAAGUGACAGACAGAGAGAGCGAGAGAGAAGAGGAUGUGUAACUGCAUUACCCGUUUUUUGUGUUGCUGCGCUCUAGUGGAAGAAGAAGAAAACUGGACCUUCACAUUUUUUGGAAAGCUUGCAGUAUGAUGCUAGGGUUUUAUGAAGGGUUGCCUGAGAUAAGCUCUUUUUGUGCAGUUCUCAGUAUCUGUGUGUUCAGUCAUUUCAAUAACAUAAAAAUAGAUUGCAGCUAAUGGAUAUA